rnacentral:tRNA from 1 species
GGGCGGUUAGCUCAGUUGGUUAGAGCAGUUGCUUUACACGCAACGGGUCGGGGGUUCGAGUCCCUCACCGCCCACCA